AGAGUUUGAUCCUGGCUCAGGAUGAACGCUAGCGGCGUGCCUAAUGCAUGCAAGUCGAACGGGAACCUUUAGAUUCGUCUGAAGGGGAGAGUGGCGAACGGGUGAGUAACACGUUGGUGACCUACCCCAGAGAAGGGGAUAACCAUUGGAAACGAUGGCUAAUACCCCGGAUGUCCCUACAGUUAGAGAGUAGUGACUAAAGCUCCGGCGCUCUGGGAGGGGCCUGCGGCCCAUCAGCUAGUUGGUAGGGUAAUGGCCUACCAAGGCAAAGACGGGUAGGGGGCGUGAGAGCGUGACCCCCCACACUGGUACUGACACACGGACCAGAUACCUACGGGUAGCAGCANCAAGGAAUAUUGCCCAAUGGACGAAAGUCUGAGGCAGCAACGCCGCGUGGAGGAUGAAGGCCUUCGGGUUGUAAACUCCUUUUCUGGGGGAAGAGAAAGGACGGGCCCCCCAGGAAUAAGUCUCGGCUAACUACGUGCCAGCAGCCGCGGUAAAACGUAGGAGGCGAGCGUUAUCCGGAUU
rnacentral:rRNA from 1 species